AUACGGAGGGUGCAAGCGUUAAUCGGAAUUACUGGGCGUAAAGCGCGCGUAGGCGGCUAUAUAAGUCGGAUGUGAAAGCCCUGGGCUCAACCUGGGAACUGCAUUCGAUACUGUAUAGCUAGAGUUUGGUAGAGGGAAGUGGAAUUCCACAUGUAGCGGUGAAAUGCGUAGAUAUGUGGAGGAACACCAGUGGCGAAGGCGACUUCCUGGACCAGAACUGACGCUGAGGUGCGAAAGCGUGGGUAGCAAACAGGAUUAGAAACCCCAGUAGUCC
rnacentral:rRNA from 1 species